CUUUAAUAGCACUGGUCACAAUCUCCAACUCUCUGAUUCACUAAUUCAUUCUCUCAUUCAUUAAUUCAUGCUCUCAUUUCCUGCCUCCUACACCAUAAUAGCAGCACUAUGAGGGUGACAGCAUUGUGAAUCCAGCUUACUCCUCCCACAGCACUUAGAGCAGAUUCUUGGCACAGAAGGUACUCUAUGAAUUUGACUUGAAUGAAUGAAGUCACAUUCGAUUAUGAGAAGAAGAAACCUUUCUCAGUUCUAAAACACAUUUUUAUUGAUUUGAACUGGGCUGCAUCUUACAACAGAUGAGCAUAUUUGGUGCUGUAUUUCACUCCCACUUCUCCCUGAAAAGCUGUUAGUACAUUGGGGUGCUCAUGGAGUAAAUUGUGUCUUAGCACCAAGGAGGGACAACAAACAUGAUUCUGAGCAGAGCUUUGCUGCCUGUAUCCAGGAUGGUUUUGCUGAGCAAUGAGAAGGAAGGAGGCACAUCAAAGGGGAUGGAAUAAGGAAACCAGUGCCCAGAAAUGAUUAGAAGGAACAGAGAGGCAUGAAGGACAUCAGGAGAAGGCAGGACCAGCCCCAACGGUCUUCAUCUGGGACCAGGGAACGAUGCGGCGGGGAGCCCCUCCCCCUGGGCGUCUGCGGGCGGCAUUUUUAGCUGCAUAUAGUAUCCGAGCGAGGAGGGAGAGGGAGAGAGACGGACGCGAAGUUGGGUGUUUUUCCGAUGCAUUAAUUAUUUUUUUUAAAAGGGAGGGGUGGGGACCAAAGUUCAAGACACGCCAGCAGACACAGGUGCGCUGCGGCGGCCGCUGGUCCGGCGCGGCCGUUCCCGGGUUCGCGGACACCCGCCGCGCGCCUCACCUGGCUGCGCACCUGAGCGGGCCCCGCGGCUCGGCGCCCCCUCGGCUCCCCGGCGUCGGGCCGCCUCCCUCGCGCCUGUGGAACUUGCUGGAGUUCGGCCCCUCCCAGGACGCGAGUGGUCCCGAGAACAGAUCGCCUUUUCAAUUUGUUGAUUCUUUCUCUGUGCAGAGAAGUUCAGAAAGUAUAAAGAAUAAAUAACAAUCAACCAUAAUCCCACUACUGAAAGGUACAGUCAAUUUAUAUGUUUUAUUCUACUCACUAAAAAUGAAUUUUCCAUGGCUGAAAUACAUUUUGUACUGCUGCGGAACACUGUAGCUAUUAUGAAAUCAAAAACAUUUUCCUGUGUCAUUUGAAAUAUUUCCCAAAUAUUUUUUAAUGACUAUGUAAUAGUCUUUUAUAUGAUUGCUCCCUCAUUUCCUUGACUACUCCACUAAUGUUGGACCUAAAGGUUACUUGUGAUUUGUUAGAAAUUAUUGUAAAUAAUAUAACAUUCUAAUACAUACAUUUGUGUGUGGUUCAUAAUAUAAGUUCCUAGUAGAUGAAUUAAUCUGUCAAAACACAUGAAUAUUUUAAAGACAUUUGAUACAUUUUGUCAAAAUGCCUUCCAGAAGAUUUUGACCAGUUUGUUCUCCUACAAAUAAAGGAAGGCAUUUCUUGCUGCCUCCUCCCCA
rnacentral:lncRNA from 1 species